rnacentral:tRNA from 1 species
GGGAUUGUGGCUUAGUGGUAGAGCGCUCACCUGGAGCGUGCGGGGCCCUGGGUUCAAUCCUCAGCACCA